rnacentral:rRNA from 1 species
UACGUAGGUGGCAAGCGUUGUCCGGAUUUAUUGGGUUUAAAGGGUGCGUAGGCGGUUCUGUAAGUCAGUGGUGAAAUACUCUAGCUUAACUAGAGGGGUGCCAAUGAUACUUCAGAACUUGAGUACAGAUGAGGUAGGCGGAAUUGACGGUGUAGCGGUGAAAUGCAUAGAUAUCGUCAAGAACACCGAUAGCGAAGGCAGCUUACUGGGCUGUAACUGACGCUGAGGCACGAAAGUGUGGGGAUCAAACAGG